rnacentral:rRNA from 1 species
GUCUGCGGCCAUGCUACCCUGAACAAGCCUGAUCCUAUCUGAUCUUGGAAGCUAAGCAGGGUCGGGCCUGGUUAGAACUUGAAUGGGAGACCACAUAGGAAGACCAGGUACUGUAGGUG